AUUGAUUGAUGGUGCUUGCACCUGAUUGAUUUUGGUCGCCAACGAGUGGCGGACGGGUGAGUAACACGUAGGUAACCUGCCCAGAAGCGGGGGACAACAUUUGGAAACAGAUGCUAAUACCGCAUAACAACGUUGUUCGCAUGAACAACGCUUAAAAGAUGGCUUCUCGCUAUCACUUCUGGAUGGACCUGCGGUGCAUUAGCUUGUUGGUGGGGUAACGGCCUACCAAGGCGAUGAUGCAUAGCCGAGUUGAGAGACUGAUCGGCCACAAUGGGACUGAGACACGGCCCAUACUCCUACGGGAGGCAGCAGUAGGGAAUCUUCCACAAUGGGCGCAAGCCUGAUGGAGCAACACCGCGUGAGUGAAGAAGGGUUUCGGCUCGUAAAGCUCUGUUGUUAAAGAAGAACACGUAUGAGAGUAACUGUUCAUACGUUGACGGUAUUUAACCAGAAAGUCACGGCUAACUACGUGCCAGCAGCCGCGGUAAUACGUAGGUGGCAAGCGUUAUCCGGAUUUAUUGGGCGUAAAGAGAGUGCAGGCGG
rnacentral:rRNA from 2 species